AAGAUGAGGUUCCUGAGCUUCCAGUAGGCGACUGACUGCCCAAGAGACCCAGGGCUCCGCAAGGAGACGGCGCAGGUGUCGGGGCUCCCCGCAGGCCGGGAAAAAGUGUCCGAACGCCUCGUGGACUGCAGCGGGGGAAAUGUCCCUUAAAAGUGCGACGAAGUGGGGAAGAAGGUGUAAUUACUAUUAUCAGCAUCUAGAAAGCAUCAUGAAUUUGCUGGAGUACUUCCUAGCACUGACCUCCUUCAUUCUGCGUUGUUCUUACUGGAUCUUUCCAUCAGCCAACAAUAUGGAAGUACCAAUACAAGGUCAAAUCAUUCCUGGAUUCAUCUGGAGUUGCUUAAAAGUUAAAUCAUUGGAAUUUUUGAUGAUACCUUUUCUAUAUGGAUUACAAUUUGAUCGCUGGGAAUUCUCCACCUUAAAGAAGACGCAAUUUCACCAUGUUACCCAGGCUGGUCUGGCACUCCUUGGCUCAAGCAAUAGCAGUCUGCCUGCUGCAGCUCUCCAAGUGCUGGGAUUACAGUACCCUCAGGUGACUACAGAUGUGUUAACACCCAGCAUGUUCCGGUAGGAGACUUUCUGGAUGGGGAAGAUUUCCAGGUGUGAAUCAUGGCAAUACAGUGAAAGACAGUGAUUUACUGCUUUUGAGGGCGUGCAUGUAUAUGAUUAACGGAUGGAAGUGCAGGACUCCAAGAUUUACUUCCUUCCCUUUCCAGCAGAAUUACCUGAGACGAGUGAGUAAUGGGAUAAUUUGUAAUACCACAGGCCCCUUUUCAAGGGACCAGUAAUCAAAACAGGAAGAUGAAACUGAGAAGAUUUCAACUGGAAGAAUACAACUUUUGAUAAUUUCUGGAUAUACCUCUUAAUUGCAAGCAGGAGAGUCUUCAGAGUUUUCCUGUGGUGGUGGUUGUUGUUGUUGUUGUUGUUG
rnacentral:lncRNA from 1 species